rnacentral:snoRNA from 1 species
AUAGCAUCUUAAACAGGUCAUGGCCUCCGAGCAGUAGGCCAGGAUUUGGUAGCUGGUGCUUAAAUCAAUUCUCUCUUGCAACACUCCCACUAGCAACUCUGGGCUUUCUGGGACUUUUCUGAGAGAGAUACAAAC